rnacentral:rRNA from 1 species
CAGCAGCCGCGGUAAUACGUAGGUGGCAAGCGUUGUCCGGAGUUAUUGGGCGUAAAGGGCUCGCAGGCGGUUUCUUAAGUCUGAUGUGAAAGCCCCCGGCUCAACCGGGGAGGGUCAUUGGAAACUGGGAAACUUGAGUGCAGAAGAGGAGAGUGGAAUUCCAUGUGUAGCGGUGAAAUGCGUAGAUAUAUGGAGGAACACCGGUGGCGAAAGCGGCUCUCUGGCUUGUAACUGACGCUGAGGCUCGAAAGCGUGGGGAGCAAACAGGAUUAGAUACCCCCGUAGUCCCUGUCUCUUAUAC